GUCUCAGUUCGGAUCGGAGUCUGCAACCCGAACUCCGUGAAGCUGGAUUCGCUAGUAAUCGCGCAUCAGCCAUGGCGCGGUGAAUACGUUCCCGGGCCUUGUACACACCGCCCGUCACACCAUGGGAGCCGGUAAUACCCGAAGUCAGUAGUCCAACCACGUGAGGACGCUGCCGAAGGUAGGAUUGGCGACUGGGGUGAAGUCGUAACAAGGUAAC
rnacentral:rRNA from 1 species